rnacentral:rRNA from 1 species
GGUCAAGUUAUUAAGGGUGCAGGGUGGAUGCCUUGGCACUAGGAGCCGAUGAAGGACGUGAUAAGCUGCGAUAAGCUUCGGGGAGUUGCACGUAAACUUUGAUCCGAAGAUUUCCGAAUGAGGAAACUCACUUAGAGUAAUGUCUAAGUAUCAUUAAGUGAAUACAUAGCUUAAUGAGGGGAACUCAGGGAACUGAAACAUCUAAGUACCUGAAGGAAGAGAAAGAAAUUCGAUUCCGUAAGUAGCGGCGAGCGAACGCGGAUUAGCCCAAACCAAUAAAGUUUUCUUUAUUGGGGUUGCGGACAUAUCAUAACGAAGAGGUAUCGUAAUUGAAGAGGUUUGGAAAGACCCACCACAGAAGGUAAUAGUCCUGUAUGUUAAACGAGAAGACUUCAGAUAUGAUCCAGAGUACCACGGGACACGUGAAACCCUGUGGGAAGCAGGAGGGACCACCCUCCAAGGCUAAAUACUACCUAGUGACCGAUAGCGUAUAGUACCGUGAGGGAAAGGUGAAAAGAACCCCGGGAGGGGAGUGAAAUAGAACCUGAAACCCUGCACUUACAAGCUGUGGAAGCACAUUUCUUGUGUGACCGCGUACUUUUUGUAGAACGGGCCAACGAGUUACGUUAAGUAGCAAGGUUAAGCACUUAAGGUGCGGAGCCGUAGCGAAAGCGAGUUUUAACUGAGCGUUCAGUUACUUGACGUAGACCCGAAACCGGGCGACCUACCCAUGAGCAGGAUGAAGCGAAAGUAAAAUUUCGUGGAGGUCCGAACCCACGAGCGUUGAAAAGCUCGGGGAUGACUUGUGGGUAGCGGUGAAAUUCCAAUCGAGCCCGGAGAUAGCUGGUUCUCCCCGAAAUAGCUUUAGGGCUAGCCUCAAGGUGAGAGAUACGGAGGUAGAGCACUGAAUGUCCUAGGGGGUAUUGCACCUACCGAAGACUAUCAAACUCCGAAUGCCGUCAUCUUAUACUUGGGAGUCAGACUGUGGGUGAUAAGAUUCAUAGUCGAAAGGGCAACAGCCCAGAUCGUCAGCUAAGGUCCCUAAAUGUAAGUUAAGUGGUAAAGGAUGUGGGAUUGCACAGACAACCAGGAUGUUGGCUUAGAAGCAGCCACUCAUUCAAAGAGUGCGUAAUAGCUCACUGGUCGAGUGAUCCUGCGCCGAAGAUUUCCGGGGCUAAAACUUACUACCGAAGCUACGGCAUCAGUAAUGAUGGGUAGGGGAGCUUCCCAUACGGGUUGAAGCAUGACCGUAAGGACAUGUGGACAGUAUGGGAGUGAGAAUGUUGGCAUGAGUAGCGAGAUGUGGGUGAGAAUCCCACAGGCCGUAAACCCAAGGUUUCCAGGGGAAGGUUCGUCCGCCCUGGGUUAGUCGGGACCUAAGCUGAGGCCGAAAGGCGUAGGUGAUGGACAACAGGUUGAUAUUCCUGUACUACCGAUAACCGUUUGAGAGAAGGGAUGACACAGUAGGAUAAGCUAAGCACACUGUUGGUUAUGUGUGCCCAAGCAUUGAGGCAGUCAAAGUAGGCAAAUCCGCUUUGAUAAUGCUGGGAUGUGAUGGGGAGCGAAAUUUAGUAGCGAAGUAGCUGAUUUCACACUGUCAAGAAAAGUCUCUAUCGAGGUUAAAGGUACCCGUACCGCAAACCGACACAGGUGGGUGAGGAGAGUAUCCUAAGGCCAGCGAGAGAACUGUUGUUAAGGAACUCGGCAAAAUGACCCCGUAACUUAGGGAUAAGGGGUGCCACCAUCAGGUGGCCGCAGAGAAUAGGCCCAAGCGACUGUUUACCAAAAACAUAGGUUUCUGCUAAGUCGCAAGACGAUGUAUAGGAGCUGACGCCUGCCCGGUGCUGGAAGGUUAAGGGGAUCUGUUAGAGCAAUCGAAGCAGUGAACUUAAGCCCCAGUAAACGGCGGCCGUAACUAUAACGGUCCUAAGGUAGCGAAAUUCCUUGUCGGGUAAGUUCCGACCCGCACGAAAGGCGUAACGAUUUGGGCACUGUCUCAACAACAGACUCGGUGAAAUUGUAAUUCCGGUGAAGAUGCCGGAUACCUGCGACAGGACGGAAAGACCCCAUGGAGCUUUACUGUAGCUUGACAUUGGGUCUUGGUACUACAUGUACAGGAUAGGUGGGAGGCUUUGAAACCAGGACGCCAGUUUUGGCGGAGCCAUCCUUGGGAUACCACCCUUGUAGUACUGGGACUCUAACCAUAGGCCAUGAAUCUGGUCUUGGGACACUGUCAGGUGGGCAGUUUGACUGGGGCGGUCGCCUCCCAAAAGGUAACGGAGGCGCUCAAAGGUUCUCUCAGUACGGUCGGAAAUCGUACGUAGAGUGUAAAGGCAAAAGAGAGCUUGAUUGCAAGACAUACAGGUCGAGCAAGGAUGAAAAUCGGACUUAGUGAUCCGGUGGUUCUGCGUGGAAGGGCCAUCGCUCAACGGAUAAAAGCUACCCUGGGGAUAACAGGCUUAUCUCCCCCAAGAGUCCACAUCGACGGGGAGGUUUGGCACCUCGAUGUCGGCUCAUCACAUCCUGGGGCUGUAGUAGGUCCCAAGGGUUGGGCUGUUCGCCCAUUAAAGUGGUACGCGAGCUGGGUUCAGAACGUCGUGAGACAGUUCGGUCCCUAUCCGUCGCAGGCGUAGGAAAUUUGAGAAGACCUGUCCUUAGUACGAGAGGACCGGGAUGGACGUACCUCUGGUGUACCAGUUGUUCUGCCAAGGGCAUGGCUGGGUAGCUAUGUACGGAAUGGAUAAGCGCUGAAAGCAUCUAAGCGCGAAGCCAACUUCAAGAUAAGAUUUCCCACCGCAAGGGUAAGACCCCAGAAAGACUAUCUGGUUGAUAGGUCGAAGGUGUAAGUGCAGCAAUGUAUUUAGCUUAUCGAUACUAAUAGGUCGAGGACUUGACCAAAUUAUUUGAUGUCCAUUCAAUAAAAUAUAUAUGUAGUUUUUAGAGUGUUAACU